AUACGAUCUUUAUUUUCUCUUCUCCACAGACACCGUCGACAGCCCUCAGCUCUCACCCUUAACCACCAAAGGACCCCUCUGCUUGUCGCCCUCCUUCCAGAUGUCGACCCUCAGCCUGCCGGGUCACGCCUCGUCGCCCCUGCAAAGCCCCAUCCUGAGUGAGGUGGGCAGCAAUGCCAGGCUAGAGGAGGAGGAUGAGGGCAGGAGGAAGAGAUAUCCCACCGAUAAGGCCUACUUCAUUGCCAAAGAGAUUCUGACCACAGAGCGAACAUACCUGAAAGAUCUGGAGGUCAUCACAGUGUGGUUUCGCAGCGCUGUGAUCAAAGAAA